GAUGAACGCUAGCUACAGGCUUAACACAUGCAAGUCGAGGGGCAGCACAGUGUAGCAAUACAUGGGUGGCGACCGGCGCACGGGUGCGUAACGCGUAUCCAACCUUCCCGUUACUCUUGGAUAGCCUUCCGAAAGGGAGAUUAAUACAAGAUGGUGUUCAAAUUCCGCAUGUUAUUUGAACUAAAGAUUUAUCGGUAACGGAUGGGGAUGCGUGACAUUAGGUAGAUGGCGGGGUAACGGCCCACCAUGCCUACGAUGUCUAGGGGUUCUGAGAGGAAGGUCCCCCACACUGGAACUGAGACACGGUCCAGACUCCUACGGGAGGCAGCAGUGAAGAAUAUUGGUCAAUGGUCGGAAGACUGAACCAGCCAAGUAGCGUGAAGGAUGAAGGUUCUAUGGAUUGUAAACUUCUUUUAUACGGGAAUAAAACCUCCCACGUGUGGGAGCUUGUAUGUACCGUAUGAAUAAGCAUCGGCUAACUCCGUGCCAGCCGCCGCUGUAAUAC
rnacentral:rRNA from 1 species